rnacentral:rRNA from 1 species
GACGAACGCUGGCGGCGUGCUUAACACAUGCAAGUCGAACGGAAAGGCCCGGCUUUUGUGGGUUGCUCGAUUGCCGAACGGGGGAGUAACACGUGAGUAACCUCCCCUUAACUUUGGGAUAACUUCAGGAAACUGGGGCUAUUACCGGAUAGGAGAUCUUGCACCAUGGUGGGGGUUGGAAAGUUUCGGCGGUGGGGGAUGGACUCGCGGCUUAUGAGCUGGUUGGUGGGGUAGUGGCUUACCAAGGUUUUGACGGGUAGCCGGCCUGAGAGGGUGACCGGCCACAUUGGGACUGAGAUACGGCCCAGACUCCUACGGGAGGCAGCAGUGGGGAAUAUUGCACAAUGGGCGGAAGCCUGAUGCAGCAACGCCGCGUGCGGGAUGACGGCCUUCGGGUUGUAAACCGCUUUCGCCUGUGACGAAGCGUGAGUGACGGUAAUGGGUAAAGAAGCACCGGCUAACUACGUG